ACUCCAGUGGCUUAGUGGUAUAGCGUGGCAGUCUUGUUAUUGCGUGCACCGAAUAUAAGAUUUGCUGAAGUCCCAUGUUCAAACCAUGGCUGGGGUG